CCAGACCCAUCAUCCUGAGUUGAAGUGCCGUUAGAACCAGACCCAUCAUCCUGAGUUGUGGUGGCAUUAGAACCAGACCCAUCAUCCUGAGUCGUGGUGGCAUUA